UUUGUCGAAAGAUGGGGGUGCCCUACUGCAUCAUCAAGGGAAAGGCCAGGCUGGGGUACCUGGUCCACAGGAAGACGUGCACCACUGUUGCCUUCACACAGGUUAACUCAGAAGACAAGGGUGCUCUGGCUAAGCUGGUGGAAGCUAUUAGAACCAAUUAUAAUGACAGAUACAAUGAGAUCCACCGCCACUGGGGAGGCAACGUCCUGGGUCCUAAGUUGGUGGCUCGCAUUGCCAAGCUGGAAAAGGCAAAGGCUAAAGAACUCGCCACUAAACUGGGAUAAAUGUACACUUAGGUUUUCUGUACAUAAAUAUAAUUACAAAUUUAUCUUCCAUC
rnacentral:lncRNA from 1 species